AUGCCGAGAAGAAGCCGGCCCGCAGGUGGCAUCCUCAUGGGCUGCUUCUGCGGUGCGCAUCGCCCGGACCUAGGGCUUGCCUUAUUUGGCCGCUUCCUCGGGACAGGCCUCAAGACAAACAAGAUUGUGGCCACCACCUUCCUCAAGUGCCUCUGCUACGCCAAACGUACAGAUGAGGCUGUCAACUUGCUGCUUCGUAGGAUGCCCGAGCUUGGCUGCGUGCCUGAUGCAAUCUCAUACACCAUUGUUCUGAAGAGCUUAUGCGAGAAUAGCAUGAGUCAGCGGGCACUUGACCUGCUCCAGAUGGUGGCAGAAGGAGGAGGUGCCUGCUCCCUCAAUGUGGUGGUGUAUAGCACAGUCAUCCAUGGCUUCUUCAAGGAGGGCGAAACAGGCAAGGCAUGCAAUCUAUUCCAUGAAAUGAUCCAUCAAGGGGUUGUGCCCAAUGUGGUCACGUAUAGCUCGAUUAUUGAUGCGUUGUGCAAGGCCAGAGCAAUGGACAAGGCAGAGCUAGUCCUUCAACAGAUGGUUGAUAGUGGUGCUCAACCAAAUAAUGUGACAUAUACUUGCAUGAUCCAUGGAUAUUCCACAUCAGGGCAGUUGAAAGAGGCUGCUAAAAUGUUUAGGAAAAUGACAACCCGGGGUCUUGUACCAGAUAUUGUUACUUGCAGCUCGUUAAUGACUUUCCUUUGCAAGCAUGGAAGAAGCAAAGAAGCGGCAGAAAUUUUUUAUUCCAUGACUGCCAAAGGCCUCAAACCUAAUAUCAUCGCAUACUCUAUUCUGCUUCACGGAUAUGCCACCGAAGGAUGCUUUGUUGAUAUGAAUAAUCUCUUUAAUUCAAUGGAAGACAAUGGUAUUGCAGCCAACUGUUAUGUUUUCAACAUAUUAAUUUAUGCAUAUGCUAAACGUGGAAUGAUGGAUGAAGCUAUGCUCAUAUUUACCGAAAUGCGGGAAAAAGGAGUGAGUCCCGAUGUAGUCACCUAUUCCACUGUAAUAGCCGCAUUUUGCAGAUUGCGUAGGCUGGCCAAUGCUAUGGACAAGUUCAAUGAGAUGACUGAUAUGGGUUUUCAGCCGGACACAACUGUUUAUCACUCCCUAAUUCAGGGUUUUUGUAUGCAUGGUGAUUUGGUUAAAGCUAAGGGGCUGGUUUCUGAAAUGAUGAACAAAGGUAUUCCUCGUCCUGACAUUGCGUUCUUCAAUUCAAUAAUAAACACUCUAUGCAAAGAAGGAGGAGUUAUGGAUGCACAAGAUGUCUUUGACUUGGUUACUGCCAUAGAUGAGAGGCCUAAUAUCAUUACAUUUAAUUCACUGAUUGAUGGAUAUUGCUUAGUUGGCGAGAUGGAUAAAGCAUUUGGAGUACUUGAUGCCAUGAAAUCAGUUGGUGCUGAGCCUGAUAUUGUUACAUACAACACGCUUGUUAAUGGCUAUUGUAGAAAUGGAAGGAUCGAUGAUGGUUUGACUCUGUUCAGGGAAAUGCCACAUAAGAGAAUAAAACCUGACACUGUUACAUAUGGCAUCAUACUAGAUGGGUUGUUUCAUGCUGCAAGAACUGUCGUUGCAAGGAAAAUGUUCCAUGAGAUGAUCGAAAGUGAAACGACAGUGGACAUUCCCGUAUACAAUAUAAUACUUAAAGGCCUUUGUAGAAAUAAUUGUGCAGACGAAGCGAUCGCCAUGUUCCAGAAAUUAGGUGCAAUGAAUGUGAAGUUUGAUAUUGGAACACUCAAUACCAUGAUUAAUUCAUUGUACAAGGUUGGAAGAAAAGAAGAAGCUAAGGAUUUGUUUGCUGCAAUAUCAGCCAGCAGGUUGGUGCCUAAUGCUUCUACUUACAGCAUAAUGAUAAUAAAUUAUCUGAAGGAAGGAUCAGUGGAAGAUGCUAAGCAUAUUUUUUUCAUCAAUGGACAAGAGUGGUAUAGCUCCCAGCUCUCGUCUUAUAAACUAUAUCAUCAGAAUGUUGUUUUUUUGAGAAAAUAUCAUCAGAAUGUUGUUGGAAAAAGGUGA
rnacentral:rRNA from 1 species